GACGAACGCUGGCGGCGUGCCUAAUACAUGCAAGUAGAACGCACAGUUUAUACCGUAGCUUGCUACACCAUAGACUGUGAGUUGCGAACGGGUGAGUAACGCGUAGGUAACCUGCCUGGUAGCGGGGGAUAACUAUUGGAAACGAUAGCUAAUACCGCAUAAUAUUAAUUAUUGCAUGAUAAUUGAUUGAAAUAUGCAACUGCAUCACUACCAGAUGGACCUGCGUUGUAUUAGCUAGUAGGUGAGGUAACGGCUCACCUAGGCGACGAUACAUAGCCGACCUGAGAGGGUGAUCGGCCACACUGGGACUGAGACACGGCCCAGACUCCUACGGGAGGCAGCAGUAGGGAAUCUUCGGCAAUAGACGAAAGUCUGACCGAGCAACGCCGCGUGAGUGAAGAAGGUUUUCGGAUCGUAAAGCUCUGUUGUAAGAGAAGAACGGGUGUGAGAGUGGAAAGUUCACACUGUGACGGUAUCUUACCAGAAAGGGACGGCUAACUACGUG
rnacentral:rRNA from 1 species